ensembl:Mt_tRNA
AGGAAUUUAGGUUAAUAUAGACCAAGGACCUUCAAAGUCCUAAGUAAGUAUCCAAUACUUAAUUCCUG